rnacentral:rRNA from 1 species
UACGUAGGGUGCAAGCGUUAUCCGGAUUUAUUGGGCGUAAAGGGCUCGUAGGCGGUUCGUCGCGUCCGGUGUGAAAGUCCAUCGCUUAACGGUGGAUCCGCGCCGGGUACGGGCGGGCUUGAGUGUGGUAGGGGAGACUGGAAUUCCCGGUGUAACGGUGGAAUGUGUAGAUAUCGGGAAGAACACCAAUGGCGAAGGCAGGUCUCUGGGCCGUUACUGACGCUGAGGAGCGAAAGCGUGGGGAGCGAACAGG